rnacentral:lncRNA from 1 species
ACACCAGCAGCUAGUACCACUGGUUUAGUAACAGAAACUGGAUUGGUCAAAGCAGCCUCCCGGCUGGAGGAAAGUGAUCCAGAAGUGAUAUGAAGAAUCUUCUAUUGCUUUAUUGAAGAAAUCACUUUCUAAUUUGGGUCCAUCUCCAUCAUUACACAAACAUUAAAAAGGCCACUUGAGUCUGCAAAUCCGGCAGCGGCGGGGCUACGGUCAAGGACAACUCUCGGCGUCUAAGGACGCGUCCCCAGCUUCUCCGACCAGCAGAGGUCCCUAUCUGGCACUGGUGAUGCUGACGUCACACAGUGAGCCUGGCAGUGUUCUCUUCCACUCUAUUUCAAUGAGCAUCGGCAUCAAUUCCCUCCUCUAAGAUCUGGUAGGAUUCGGUGGUGACUCCAUCGGAAACUGUAACCUUAUUUGAAAAGAAGAUCUUCAUACGAAUGUUAUCAAGUCCCUGGGCUCCAGCCAAUGUUUGGCUGUGGGUCUCUGUAUCCACAAAUCUACUAAAUUACUUUUGACAUAAAAAUCUGUUUUAGAGGGGGCUGGAGAGAUGGCUCAGCGGUUAAGAGCUCUCACUGCUCUUCCAGAGGUCCUAAGUUCAAUUCCCAGCAACCACAUGGUGACUCACGUCCAUCUGUAAUGAGAACUGAUGCCCUCUUCUGGUGUGUCUGAAGACAGCUACAGUGUACUCAUAUAGAUAAAAAAUAAAUAAGUCUUUAAAAAUC